UACGGAGGAUCCAAGCGUUAUCCGGAUUUAUUGGGUUUAAAGGGUGCGUAGGCGGCCUAUUAAGUCAGGGGUGAAAGACGGUGGCUCAACCAUCGCAGUGCCUUUGAUACUGAUGGGCUUGAAUGAACCUGAGGUAGGCGGAAUGUGACAAGUAGCGGUGAAAUGCAUAGAUAUGUCACAGAACACCAAUUGCGAAGGCAGCUUACUAAAGUUUAAUUGACGCUGAGGCACGAAAGCGUGGGGAGCAAACAGG
rnacentral:rRNA from 1 species